rnacentral:misc_RNA from 1 species
UCCGGUUUGUCACCGGCAGUCUCUCAUGAGUCCCCGGCUUUACCCGCUGGCAACAUGAGACGGGGGUUGCGCUCGUUGCGGGACUUAACCCAACACCUCACGGCACGCGCUGACGACAGCCAUGCAGCACCUGUGUCCAGGUUCCCUUUCGGGCACACCCCCAUCUCUGGAGGCUUCCUGGCAUGUCAAGGGUAGGUAAGGUUUUUCGCGUUGCAUCGAAUUAAUCCACAUAAUCCACCGCUUGUGCGGGUCCCCGUCAAUUCCUUUGAGUUUUAGCCUUGCGGCCGUACUCCCCAGGCGGGGCACUUAAUGAGUUAUCGCCGGCCCCCAGGGGGUCGCUCCCCCAAGGACCUAGUGCCCAUCGUUUACGGCGUGGACUAC